AUGUCCAUAUAUGGCGAUCUUUCCGAACGCCGGGCGCCCAUUGGCUCGCCCGGCCGGGACACGUGGGGCCCCGCGCCCGGCCCCGCCCCCCGCCCGCGCCGCCCCCAACGGCCCCGCCCGCGCCGCCCCCGCGCGCUCCGGACCCCGAGCGCGAGACCCCGCACGGACCCGCGCGCGGGCGGGGCCGGGGGCGCCCCCCGGGGGUCGCGGGCUGCCCUGCGGGGCCGAGCGGCGGCCCCGCCCCGGGACUGCUGCGCCGUGGGGGAGGGCCGGGCUGCGCCCCGAAACUGCCUGGCCCAGGGUUCGGCCGCGCCCCGAGCCGGGGUGUGUCCCCGCCGCCUGGCCCGGUGCCGGGGGGGGGGGGGGGGCCGGGGGGGGGCCGCUUUGCCCCCGCGCGCCCCCUGCGCGCUGCACCCUGAGGCUCCGCAAGGGGCGUGGGCUGCCAAGGCCGGCGCCGGGCUGGGGGUGGGGCGGGGUCCCGGGACCCCGUCUCCCCGUCUCCCCGUCUCCGUGGCGAGGGCUGAGCCACCUGUCCCCCGGCGUCCUCCCGGAGGAGGGGGCGCCCUGCCUGGGGUCCCCGUUGGUGCGGGGACGGACGGAGGCUUCAUUCGAGCCGACGCCUCCUGCCUCUCAAACCUCGGGCCCGAUUGUCCCUGGAGCGGGGUGCCCUCGGGCUUUAGGGCCACCCCCAUCCACUGUGAGCAGUAUAAGGAAACUGAGGCAGGAAAGGGAGGUUGCGACUGCCCGGCCGGUGCAGUGCGGGCGGGAGCUGGGGAGCACCCUCUCCUCUGCUCGCGGUGCCACGGAGAGCCCCCAGGGUGGAAGGGGUUCGCUGAUCCCUACAGCGGGCCGCCCCCCUGCUCCCCGGGGUCGCCACAGGCCUCCGCGCCCCGGCUGCCCCUUCCCCCCAGGACCCUGAGCUCGGAGACCUGUCGCUGCCAGCAGGGUCCUGUCCUCACCUGCUGGCGCCAGUGUUUUCCUUAUGCCCGGAGGGGAACCAAAGACUAG
rnacentral:lncRNA from 1 species